CAACAUAGAAUAGCCAAAGCAGUUUACAAAAAAAAAAAAAAAAAAAAAGAACAAAGUUGGAAUGGGGAAACAAAAGAGCAAUAACUGCCACCUUACAACAUAUACAAAAUUAACUUGAAUCACAGACCUAAAUGUAAAAGGUGAAACUAUGAAUCUUUUAGAAGUUAACGCAAGAGAAAAUAUUUGUGACUUAGGAUAGGAAUGGAUUUUUGAGGGCACAAAAAGCAUGAACGUAAGGAAAAAAUACUGUUAAAUCAGACCAUCAAAAUUAAAAACUCAAAAAGCACUAUUUUUUAAAAGAAAAAAAGCAAGACACAGAUUGGAAGACAUAUUCACAGUAUACUUAACAGACAGAAAAAUUAUUUAAGAAUGUAUAAAAACUUCCUAAAUCUCCAUAAAAAGAAGAUAACCCAUGGGGAAAAUGGGUGAAGAAGAGUGGGAGGUACACUUCUGGUUAUGGAAUGAAUAAGUCAAAGGGAUUAAAAAGUACAGUAUAGGGAAUAUAGUCAAUGGUAGUGUUAUAUAGCAUUGUUUGGUGACAGAUGGUAGCUAUACCUGUCAUGAACACAGCAUAAUUGUCCUGAUCAUUAUGUUAUAUACUCGAAACUAAUGUAACAUUAUGUGUCAAUUAUAUUUCAAUAAUAAAUACAUAAAUAAAUAAAUAAGACAACCCAAUUUUUAAAAAUGAGCAAAAGAUUUGAAUGGAUUUUUUUUUUUAAUUUUUUUUCAACAUUUUAUUUAUUUUUGGGACAGAGAGAGACAGAGCAUGAACGGGGGAGGGGCAGAGAGAGAGGGAGACACAGAAUCUGAAACAGGCUCCAGGCUCUGAGCCAUCAGCCCAGAGCCCGACGCGGGGCUCGAACUCACGGACCGCGAGAUCGUGACCUGGCUGAAGUCGGACGCUUAACCGACUGCGCCACCCAGGCGCCCCUUGAAUGGAUUUUUCAUCAAAGAAGACUGGUGAUGGCAAAUAAGCAUAUGAAAAGGUGCUCAAUGUCAUUAGUCACCAAGAAAAUGCAAAUUAAAGCCACAGUGGGGCAUUACUCUAUACCCAUUAAAAUGGCCUACACUUUUUUAAAAGUUUAUUUAUAUAUUUUGAGAGAGAGCGUGCGCACGUGAGGGGCAUAGAGAGAGGGAGAGAGAGAGAAUCCCAAACAAGCUCCUCACUAUCAGUGCAGAGCCUGAUGUGGGGCUCAAACUCAUGAACUGUGAGAUCAUGACCUUAGCCGAAAUCAAGAAUCAGAUGCUUAACCGACUAAGCCACCCAAGCACCCCUAAAAUGACCUACAUUAAAAAGACUUACAGUCUUUUCUCAAGGAUGGUGCCAAAGGUGAUGAAGGAAGCCCUGCCUCUUCCAAAGCUGAACCCAAAGCAAAGGCUUUGAAGGCCAAGAUAGCAGUGCUGAAAGGCGUCCAUAGUCACACGCAAAAAAGAUCUGCACAUCAUCUACAUUCAGUGGCCCAAGACCUUGCAUCUCCAAAGACAGCUGAAAUAUCCUUGAAAGAGAGCCCCCAGGAGAAACAAGCUGACCACUAUGCCAUCAUCAAGUUCCCCCUGACUACCAAGUCAGCCAUGCAGAAAAUAGAAAGCAACAACAUACUUGUGUUCAUUGUGGAUGUCAAGGCCAACAAGCACCAGAUCAGACAGGCUGUGAAGAAGCUCUGUGACAUUGAUGUGGCCAAGGUCAACACUCUGAUAAUCAGGCCCGAUGGAGAAAAGAAGGCAUAUGUUCAACUGGCUCCUGACUGUAAAGGUUUGGAUGUUGCCAACAAAAUUGGGAUCAUCUAAAUUGAGUCCAGCUGGCUAAAUCUAAAUAUAACCUUUUUCACCAUAAAAAAAAAAGU
rnacentral:lncRNA from 1 species